rnacentral:rRNA from 1 species
UACGAAGGGUGCAAGCGUUACUCGGAAUCACUGGGCGUAAAGCGCACGUAGGCGGAUUGUUAAGUCAGGGGUGAAAUCCUGGAGCUCAACUCCAGAACUGCCUUUGAUACUGGCGAUCUCGAGUCCGGGAGAGGUGAGUGGAACUGCGAGUGUAGAGGUGAAAUUCGUAGAUAUUCGCAAGAACACCAGUGGCGAAGGCGGCUCACUGGCCCGGUACUGACGCUGAGGUGCGAAAGCGUGGGGAGCAAACAGG